AUUGAUAUUGCCUUGUGGAAGUUUGAGACCACAAAGUACUACUGCACUGUGAUUGAUGCUCCUGGACACAGAGAUUUCAUCAAGAACAUGAUUACUGGUACCUCUCAGGCUGACUGUGCUGUCCUCAUCAUUGACUCCACAACUGGUGGUUUCGAAGCUGGUAUUUCCAAGGAUGGACAGACCCGUGAGCACGCAUUGCUUGCUUUCACCCUUGGUGUCAAGCAAAUGAUUUGCUGCUGUAACAAGGUCUGUUUUAUUUUAAUUAGUUAUGUUAAUUGAAAAUUGCUGUUCUUACGUUUUGCUAAUUAUGUUGUAUGCCUUCUGCAGAUGGAUGCUACCACCCCCAAGUACUCCAAGGCUAGGUACGAUGAAAUUGUCAAGGAAGUUUCUUCCUACCUCAAGAAAGUAGGAUACAACCCUGACAAAAUCCCCUUUGUCCCCAUCUCUGGUUUUGAAGGAGACAACAUGAUUGAGCGAUCAACCAACCUUGACUGGUACAAGGGCCCAACCCUACUUGAGGCUCUUGACCAGAUUAAUGAGCCCAAGAGGCCCUCAGACAAGCCCCUCCGUCUUCCACUUCAGGAUGUCUACAAGAUUGGAGGUAUUGGAACUGUACCUGUCGGUCGUGUUGAAACUGGUGUGAUUAAGCCUGGUAUGGUUGUCACUUUUGGUCCAACUGGUCUGACCACUGAGGUUAAAUCUGUGGAGAUGCACCACGAGGCUCUUCAGGAGGCACUUCCUGGUGACAAUGUUGGGUUCAACGUCAAGAACGUUGCAGUUAAGGAUCUUAAGAGAGGUUACGUUGCCUCCAACUCCAAAGAUGACCCAGCGAAGGGUGCUGCUAGCUUCACUGCCCAAGUUAUCAUCAUGAACCACCCUGGUCAGAUUGGAAACGGAUAUGCCCCAGUGCUCGACUGCCACACCUCCCACAUUGCUGUCAAGUUUGCUGAGAUCUUGACCAAGAUUGACAGACGUUCUGGUAAGGAACUUGAGAAGGAGCCCAAGUUUUUGAAGAAUGGUGAUGCCGGUAUGGUUAAGAUGAUUCCCACCAAGCCCAUGGUUGUUGAGACCUUUGCUGAGUACCCACCAUUGGGACGUUUUGCCGUGAGGGACAUGCGUCAGACUGUUGCUGUUGGAGUUGUCAAGAACGUUGACAAGAAAGACCCUACUGGUGCUAAAGUCACCAAGGCUGCCCAAAAGAAGAAGUGAUGUGUUUUUGAUGAGAUUCUGCAUUGAUGAACUAGUUUUGUUUAAUUGCAUUAGCUAUUUUCAAUUUUGUUUUGAACAUUUUACCAGUCAUAGAUUUGGCUCCAGAAGCUUUUGUCAUGGUUCUCUAGCCUCUUUUGAGGAUAGUGGAGUUAUUGAGCAAUUUGGUUUGAUCCAAGUUGCUUGAUGAGCUGUGACAAAAGCAUCUCUGAUGCCUUUCUACUUUCUGGUUUUUAUAGCGAAUUCCCAGAUAAGAUGUUGAGACGGUUUUAAUAUGUUAUGCUUUUUAAGUUAUCUUUUAUCCUUCAUUAUCUUCCUUCUAUCAUUUUGGUUUGAGUUGUGUUCAUUGCAAGGUGUUAUUCUCUGUGUCAUUUGAGAUUUGCCAUUGCUGAACUGUUGCUUUGAUUGUCUAUGCAUUUUUCAAAUGAGUUUCUUAUAUGUUUAGACUUUGUAUUUUUUCUAUUCGAGUCUUUCUCCAUAGUUGUGGGAUCUCUUAAAGACAGGUGACAGUGUCAUUUCAUUCAUGGUCCAGCGUAAAUACCAGCUAUACCUAAGAUGUAACUUAAGACUUUCAUCUUGUUCAUUGUGCAAUGACCAAGAAUGAUCAGAUGUCAUUUCUUUAAUCUAACGCACAUCUUGAUUAUUUUAUCCUAACUUCUUUGGUAUCAUUCGUUUCAUUAUGUGCAUCAUUUGAGGCUGGCCUCAUUCAUUCAUUGGAAACUUUAAGUUUAACCGAGAUAGACCACGUGAGCAUCAUGAAAUCCAGUUUCAUGAAACCCCACACCUAAAAAGAGGUGGAAUCACAUAUUUGUUAAAAGAGUUAAGUCUUGAGUUUGUAUUGUCUUCAAUUGAAUUUCUUAAAUGUUUCUCUUGUUUAUGUGUGAUUUAUAAUUUGCAGAAUCUAUCCUCCCCAGUUCAAUUCAAUUUCUUAGGCACUAUGCUUCAAUUUUACAUGACAAUUUGAGAAAUUGUUUCUUCCAUUGAUCUAUACACAGCUGUUGUGGGGUUUUUACUUGCUCAAAACUGUUUGGUUCUUUGUACAGAAAGCGUGUAUCAAUUUUAUCCACCAUUUUGUUUUUCUCGUCCUCUUAUAUCACAACAAGCUUUAGCUAAUCUAAAGACUAUCAGAAUAGUACUUUUCAGUUUCAUUUUAAUUGUUGUUUUAAUCCUUUUUACAUCCAUUAAGAAAAUAAUAAAUACAAGGUAUAAUUAUUUUGAGUUAUCCUAAUUCUUACCUGUUUCUCUUUUUGGAGCAUCGAGCAAUACUUUUUUUAAAAAAAGAACUACUUUAAUGUUAAAGGGUAUAAUUGAAAACAAUUGCUAUAUUUUUAAUCUUGAAGUUCUCAAGUAACAAUUAUUUUGGGACAAUUUUGAGCUAAAAUACAGAUAGCGGGAUGAGUAAUUGCAAAAUUCAUUCCAACAUGAGUUGUAGUUGUGGUGAAAUAGUUAAAAUUUCUUCAACUUUUAAAAAGUAUUACCUCAAAUAUGAACACUGCAAUACGUGAAUCCAAAUUUAAUUGAAUGUCAAUAGUAACCUCAUUAGAAGGUUUGUUACACAAAUCUAAGCUAAAUUUAUCACAGUCCCCAAAAGUACAUAAACAAAAACUAAAAGAAAAACCAAAUUAAGUACUCUUUUUUUUCCAAGUUAGAAUCAAGCAGCCUUUGCUGUACAAGACAAACAAAGACCACAAAGAAGAGCAACAAUAAGAUCUAAAUCAGUUUCAUUUAUUUUCUCCCUAAACUCUCUUUCAUUGCUUCUCACUUGAUCUGUUUUCCAUUUUCCUCCCAUUUGAACUCUUAGCUUUUUCAUAGCCUCUCUUCUUCCAAUGUGAUCCGUCAUCCUACAAUUUGAACAGAAGAAAAUAAUUUUAUAAUUAUACGCGAAUCAAAUAUACUAUAAAGUCAUAAUUCCAAAAGUACAAUAAAGCUAAAUGCUGAAAACUAUAAUGAUUGAACUCAACAAAUUUAAAUCCUGAAUUUAUCUCUUCAACUGAUUUCAGUUCAAAUAAACUAUCUAGAGUCUAGACAUAUAAAAAAUAGAAUUAAAUCUCUCCUAACAUUUCACUAUAUAUCAUGUUUUUGAAACUAAUGUUUAGUCUAUAUUAUAUAUAUUAUAUGUUUUUUCUAUAAUAACAUUUCACUAUACAAACCAGGAAUAUAUAGACAAACAACUAAAUAUUUACAAAACCUAUACAUUUAACCAAAAAAAAUGCAAUAAACAUAGUUACUAGCACUUGAUAUCGUUAUCCUACGAUUUAAAUCCAUAAAAUUUAAAUCUUAAACCAUUCACUAUAGAAGCCAGAAAUAUAUAAUACACUUUAACCAAAAAAACUAUACUGAAUAUUCACAAAAAAGGUACAUUUGACAACGCUAUCCUGGGAUUCAGAAUUCAUAAAAUUUAAAUUUUGAAUUCGAGAAAAAUUACUCUUUGCAUAGAGGAAGAGGACGUGUGAUCCCUGCAAGACAAAUUGGGAGUCCAUUAUUUGCUUGAUGAUUUAAAUUGGAUGAUGACAUUUUUUUUUUCUUGAAAGAGUAGAUGGAAUUUUUUUUCUUAGAUUUAAAGAUAGAGAAGGAACGAAAAAUUAAAAGAAAGAGAAAAAACAGAGAGGAAGGUAAAGCAUUAAAAGCAGAUAUAAAGGACCUUUCAUUUUCUUUACUUAUAGUGGGCACAAAAGGGGAAUAGUUUAUAUUAGUUACGUAGAUAUUAUGACGGGAUAAUUAAGAUUUUUUAUUUUAACGAGAGAUUUUAAGUUUGAGUUUUUGAGAAUGAAGACAAUCUUAUUAGAAGCGUUUUUGUGGCUUGAACUCGCGUUGUGGAACCUGAGCUCCACGAUGGCUCCUAAUCUAUUAUACAAGUAAAGUUUGGUUAAAAACUGACUGAUUUUGAUUUAAAUAAACUUCAGUAUGAUCUCCACUUUCCGUAGGGCGAAUAAAAUUUAAAUUUAAAUUUAAUGAUUCAUUUUUUAUAUUUAAAUCGUUGCAUUGGUUAUACUUAGUGUAGAUGUGAAUUUUAAAAUCAAAGAUAGAUUUAAAAUUUAAUUUAUAGAUUCGUAUAGUGGCCUUUUAAGUUAAUAAUUAGUAUUAUAGGGAGUUUUUAGCCUGAGGAUACCCCUUUGCCCUUACAAAGUUCACUUAACUCUAGAAAACUAUAUUACUCUUAAAUAAAAUAAUUGCGUACAUAAUUAACAUUAAAUUUUUAUUUUAUGACGUUCAAUACUGUAAUUUAACUAAUUUAUACGUAAGCAAUAAUGCUUAUGAAAAGAGAAAGUGCUCAUAAUUAAGAUUUUCUUCUCAUUUUCAUAGCUCAAUCACAUGCCUAGAAUAUAUUUACAUAUUCUACAAUCCAUCUCAAAAUAUUAGUCACAUUUUAAUUUUAUUAAUUUUGGAGCAAAAUUAAAUUAUAUUACUUAAUAUCUCAGAUAAUUAAAAAUUAUAUUUAAAAAAUCUAUUACGUCAUAAUUCUUCCCAUAUAGUAAAAAAAAAAUUUGAUAUAGUGAUCAAAAUUCAAGAUGUUAAAUCUUGAGAAACAAACAAUAAUAUAUUCUAUGAAUUUCUAAUUCUAUUAUGAUGUGUGUGUAUAUUUAUUCUUCCUCUAUCAAGAGAAGAUACCUAAAUAUUUAUUAUUAAGAUAAACUAUAUUUACAGCCAACGAAGAAGUAGAAAGAAACUCGAACUGACUUAGCAGCAAUAGAGGCAAACAUGUCUCCAAAGUAGAUAACAAGGCCAGAAUAAACGAGAAUUGCUUCUCCUUAUAAGAGAGAUAAGAAUGUAACAUUACUGCAUAGACGGUUUAUCAAACAAACAACAUACGUAAGUAAGUAGCAUCUUAAAUAGAAUCUAGAGCACGCUGAGUCAGUUUUACUACUCUGAAUCCAUGACAGAAUAGUCAUACUAGGAUCGGUGUUGUACACCAUCCGACAAGAGAAGUGACGAGCAAAUUGUUAAACAAUGCUCAGCUAUGAACCAAAUAAGUGAACAUAUGAAAAGGAAGUGAACAAACAGCAAGAUACAAUGCUAUACAGCUUAAGCUACAACGAGAUAUCGUGCCUUGCCUGUUGUCUGAUUGAUGGAAAAGAUUGGAAUACAAAUAAAUUAGAACACCAAAACAACUAGCAAAUGUCACUCAAACACUGAUAUAAUUCAAAACUAAAAUAAAGUCAGUCAUACGAGUGAGUGAACCUACAAUAUCGAUCUAAAUCCAGUAUAAAAAGAAAUACGUUUUCUCUACUAAACAUAUCCCACCAUAACCUCAUGGUUAGCCCGCAAUGUAGAAGAAAAUGAUCCACGCCCUCAUUCACCUCUUUACACAUAUAACACCAAUAACUCUUGACGAUAAAGACAGAUUGUUUCAACGAGGUUGUUCAUAGAGUAACUCAAAGGUUGAGUCUCCGACCACGCACUACACAACAAUCAAUAUUGAUCAUAAAAGCACCUCAAGAAUCUAGCCUUUGAACUAAGAAACAUAAAGCAUUUUCGAUACUUAUAUGAUACAUACAGGUAAUAAAAGAACUAUAUCAGUUAACCAUCAAACAUGAAGAACAAGGUAUGGUAUAGAAAGACAAAAAAAGUCAUGUAUAAACUACUUAUUUUACUUCUUGAAAGAAAACAAUAUGUUCCUCUCUAGCUUGUUAUCAGCCAUACAAACAAUUUCAGCCUGUGGACACUACAUAUAGUCGUCACACAGGGGCAGAGCCAGGUGGGAGUUCAUGGGUUAGGACGAACCAGUAGCUUUUUCCUAGACCCUAUAUUUGUACUAAAAAAUUAUGUAAUUACUUUGUGAACGCCUAAUAAAAACUGAUUGACAAUUCUAUGGUAAGGAAGGGGAAGGAAAUAUAGAACCCCCAAAAUCCUAAUGUUAUCUCCGCCUCUGUCGUUAGGUUCACUUCGCUAAAGAAUCUAUCAAUCAGAUAUAGCAUUUGACAUUAUUACCUAAAGUUCUCUACUUGAUUUAACGAUAUUGAUAUUCAGGAGCGGAGUCAGAUAGGACCAAAGGAAUUCCCUUUCGACAGAAAUGCAGCCUAAUAGUCAAUGAAUUGAAUUGAGAAUUACAAGUCAAAACAACUUAGUUAUUGCUAUCAUUUUAAGCUUCAAUAGAAGAAAUUAGACAGUUUGACCCGAACACUAGUUAUAAAAAUAAAAUUAAAAACUAGUUAACCCAGUUUUCCAAUUUUUGAUUAGGGAAAAACACCAAUGGCAUAUGUAAUUGAUUGUAUUUGUACCUAAUUUGAAGAUGUUUCUUUUAUUUAUUUUUCUUUGUCACUUUUGCUUAUUUUGCUGACCUUUCAAAAUGGAAAAAUUACGUGAAUUAGUACAUUUUAAUAAAUAAUUAUUGAUUUUAGCAAAAAAAUUUAUUUAUCAUCAUUUAUAGUAAUACUAUGUUAAAUCUGUAAUAUACAUUAAAAGUGAAUUAUGUAUGCAAUAUAUAUGAAUUAUAUGUGUUUUUAAAAAUAUAUUAUUUUUGUUUGGUUAAAUUUGACACAUUGUAUUAUAAUUGUAUUAAAAUGUGUGAUAAAUGAAUUAUGUAUCAUUAAAAUUUGUAUUAUAUGUGAAUAAAAAUUGUUUUUUGUAAUAUGAAUUAAAUUUGUAUUAUAAUGAAUUAAAAAAUGAUCAAAUAUAAAAAAAUAUUAUUGCUAUAAAUGAUAACUAUUUUUUUAUUAUAGUAUAUUUAUGUAAGUUUCCCUUUCAAAAUUUGCUUAUUUUAAAAAAUAAAGUAUCUUUUAACUUAUUAAAAAUAGCUCAAAAUAUCAUCCUUUACAUUACUUAUUAAUAAAUUGACACAUUUCAAUAACACUUGAUAAUAAAUAAAGCACCACUUAAAAUAUAUAAAUGUUGAUAUAUUAUAUAGUUCGAUUAAACAUGCAAUAACAGAUCAUAAUUAUUUUCUUGAUAUAUAUUUUUUAAAAAUCUUAUAAAUUUUUUUUAAAAUACAUAAAAAAUUAUAUUUUUAUCAAUUCGAUUCAAUCCCCCCCCUUUUUUUUACUUAAUACCAAUAAGAGCGAAGGUGAUUGUUAAACUUUUCUUGGUAAGUGGAAAAUCAUUUUGAUUAAAUAUUUUUUAAAGUAUAAAUAUAUUAAAUAAAAUAAUAUUUAUUAAUUCAAAAUCAAUUAAUCAAUUAGACAAAUGAUCACAUACUCAACUUUUUUUAAAGCAAGAGACAGUAUAAAUGUUUUUCUGUCUACUGCCAAACUAAUUUCAUUUUUUUCCUUCUAUAUGGGACAAAAUUCUUUUCAUUUUUUAUUCACAACUUAAACAAAAGUUCAUGGAAUCAAAUUCAAUUUAUACACAAUAAAGAAAAUUCAAUAAUUCCCUCCCUUAAUAGUUAAUAAGGUAUAAUGAUAUAUUUUUUAAAAAAAUAUGUAAAAAAGAAAAUGUGGUAUUUCUAGAAAUUUUACAUAGUUAUAUAUAUAUAAGAUGUACUUAGUUAAUUGACAAGUUAUAUUCUAAAAUUGUUAGAAAUUAUUAUAUCUAAACAACAUACAUAAGUCACGUAAUUAACUCUUAAUCAUCUUUGAUUUUCAUUAUUGUAAUUUUAGUUAUGAACAUUGCCUCAUAUUAUGAAUGUGUAGAGAAUUCUAGUGUUAUAAUUAUCCUCCUUUAAAUUGCUAGCACUUUACAUAAGAGUAUAACAUGUAUACAUUCUUUGACUAUGUUAUAUAGAACUUAUGAACCAUUUAAAGUAUAUAUAUAUAUAUCUUAAAAGUUUUGAUCUUGUAAUCAAAUACUAUCUUAUUAUGAGAUUGAGUUGAGUUAUUUGAUCAUGUUGAUUAGUUAUGUAUAAAUUUAUUUAUUUUCGUUAAACUUAAAUCUUGAGAUUAUUUUAUUUCUCAAAUAAAGUUUUCUAUAUGAUAGCUUGUCCUUAGUUGUAUAUAUUCACCAUUCCUUUGAUGAUCUUUGUUGGAAACAAAUUUUAAAGGAACAGAAAAUAAAUUAAUAAAGAUCGUGAAUUCUAUUGAUUCCUUAAUUUUACUAUGCUAAGAUUUUUUCAUGAUUCAAGGAUCGUAUAUGGCUUAUUUCUCGAACUAGGAUGAUUUACAUUUGACUUCCCUAUAUGAAUAAUUCAUCUCCUAAGAUUUAUCCAUAAUUCAAGGACCGAGCUUAUCUUUUGAACUAUGAUGAUUUAGAUUUGACCUCUCUAUAUGAAUAAUUCAUCUCAUAAGAUUUUUUUAUGAUUCAAGGGCCGUUUAUGGUUUAUUUCUCGAACCAGGAUGAUUUAGAUUUGACCUCUCCAUAUGAAUAAUCCAUCAAUUUGUGGGGUAUUCGAGAUCUUUAUCUCUUUAUGUAACUCCCUAUAUGAAUAAUCCAUCAAUUUGUGGAGCAUUCGAGAUCUUAAUCUCUUUAUGAAAUUUUCGAGAUGUUUUUUAAGAGAUUUAGUAUUCGUUAUAUAUGAAUUAUCCAUGAAUUUGUGGAGUAUUCGAAAUCUUGAUUUCUUUAUGGAACUAUCUAUAUGAAUAAUUCAUCAAUUUGUAGAGUAUUCGAGAUUGUGAUCUCUUUAUGGAAUUUUCGAGAUUAUUUUAAGAGAAUUUAGUAUCCGUUAUAUAGGCAUAAACUGAAAUUUAAGGUUGACUAGCCUCCAAAAAUACUAAUUUGAGUCGAACACAAUUUGCAGAAUCCAACUCAAUUGAACCGCAUCUUACAAAGUCCCACAAAAUUUCAUUAUUUACAUCUUUACAAUUGUAUUUCUAAGUACAUCUAACAUAAUAUCUCUUGAUUUAGUUUAGUUAAACGUGGCAAUUUCACUAAUAACUAGUUGUCUAACAACAUUAUAUGACUUCAUGAAAGAUGUCAAUAUUUUUUUAUGAAACAUAACACUCUCAAUCCUUAUUAUUAUCGCUUGAUUAUUGGGAUGUAUAUAUUAUAUAUAAAUGUCAAAGAUUUUGAUCAAAUUAAAAAAAAAUUUAAGUAAGUUUGGAGUUAAAAAAUAUUUAGAAUACAAUUUUUUGAUGUAUGUUGAUAAAUAAAUUAAUUUUUCUUUCAAUUUUAUUUGUUUAUCAUUUCAAAUAUAGAUCUUUCAAUUUUGCUUAUCACUUUCAACAUAUCAAGAAAAAAUAAUUAUUUUCUUCAUAAUUUACCCUUAGCAUUAACCACUUAAUUUCUAAAUUAUUUUUCAAGACCAAUAUUAAACAUUGAUUAGUAAGAAUAGUACGAUAAAAUAAUUAUAUCAAUUAUUUUUUAUUAAUUAAUGUUUCAAAUCCAACUAUAGCAACUAAAAAUAAGCAUAAAAAUUAUAUUUUAUAAAUAUGUCAAAUUUUAUAUAAAAAAAUACUAAUCAUCCCACCACCAUUUUAAUAGGAAUAAAGUAAUCUUAAUUAUAACUAAUAUCUUAAAUCAAAUAUGAAUGGACUUAUUAUUAUAAUAUACCACGUAUCAAACACUCACUUGUGGAAAUUAUAAACAAACAAUAGGGACAUUUAUGUAAAUUCACAUUCACAGAGUGCCGCACAGAAAGCCCUAGCUGAUGUGCUCUCACCACUAUAAAAAGUCCCUUCAUACCUCGCUUGAAACCCUACUUGUGGUUUGUGUUGUUAUUCUCUAUACGCAGCCAGGGUUUUAGCAAAGCUCAGAAAAGGUUAGAUCUAAUGUAUUUCUUUUCAUUUUGUUGAGUUUUUGUUUCAUAUUAUAUGAUAUUGAUGCGAAAAUCUGGUUAUAGAUUUGUGUUUUGAUACUAAUUUGUGAAAACUAGUAUGUAUUUCUCUAAGAUUUGUUUAUUGCAUGUUGAUGUAAUGAGAUUGAAUUUUGUUUUAGGUCGAUGAGAAAAUCUGGUAAUAGAUUUGUGGUUUGUUACUGAUAUGUGAAAAUUAGUAUCUAUUUCUCUUAGAUUUGAUCAUCAUGUUGAUUAUAUGAGAUUGAAUUUUGUUUCAGAUUGUAUGAUAUUGAAGCGAAAAUCUGGAAUAGAUUUGUGUUUUGUUAGUAAUUUGUGGAAACUAGUGUGUAUGUCUCUUAGAUUUGUUCCAUCAUGUUGAUGAUAUGAGAUUUAUAUAUUUAUGUGACUUUCGGUUUAAGUUGAGGCUAAAUCGUCAUAGAUUUGUCUUUGUUUUAUGUUGAAAGUAUGUGAUUUGUAUGUUCAUAGGAUUUCCAGUUGAAGUUAUAACAUAGUCGUUAGUGUUUCUCUGAUAUUUGUCUAUAUGUGAUUUAUGAAUAUAUUUAUGGAAUUUUCAGUUUUAAGUUAUGGUAGAUGAGUGUGUUACUCUGAGAUUUGUUUAUUUUUGUUGAAGAUGCAUCAUAUGAAAUUGUAUGUACUUAUUCGUUCAAUUGUUUACUCUUUAAUGGCUUUAUAAAUUAUAUUUUGUUGAUUCUGAGGUUGAAUCGUCAUGAUUUGCGCCUUUAUCUGUGUAUAAACCCUGUUUUGUUCGAGGUUGAUGCUUUAAUACUUGCUGAAUUGUGUCUUAUCUAUGCCGGUGUAUCUUAGAUCUGUUGAUUUUUUUGAGAAGAUUUGCUCUUUAUUAAGUAGGUCAAUAGCGGGUGUAUAGUGGAUCUAUUAGUUAAUAAUGUUGGUUUUAAAAAAUCAUUUGAGUAUAAGCAAUAUGCUUAACGAAGUAAGAAAUUAUGCUGAUUAAUAAUGAAUGGUUCUAAGAAUCUUUCAUUUGUAUGUAUGCUUUCAGAGUAACAAAACUAUCAAUUUCUUUGGUUUGCAUUUAAUAGUACAUCUGUUAAUCUUAAGUCUGACAUUUGGAUCGAAUAACCCAUGUGUUUCUUACCAUGACUGGUGUUCUGUUCAGUUUUAAGACAUCAUGGGUAAAGAGAAGAUUCAUAUCAGCAUUGUUGUCAUUGGACAUGUCGACUCUGGAAAGUCGACCACUACUGGUCACUUGAUCUACAAGCUUGGUGGUAUUGACAAGCGUGUGAUCGAGAGGUUUGAGAAAGAAGCAGCUGAGAUGAACAAGAGGUCAUUCAAGUAUGCAUGGGUGCUUGACAAGCUUAAGGCUGAGCGUGAACGUGGUAUUACCAUUGAUAUUGCCUUGUGGAAGUUUGAGACCACAAAGUACUACUGCACUGUGAUUGAUGCUCCUGGACACAGAGAUUUCAUCAAGAACAUGAUUACUGGUACCUCUCAGGCUGACUGUGCUGUCCUCAUCAUUGACUCCACAACUGGUGGUUUCGAAGCUGGUAUUUCCAAGGAUGGACAGACCCGUGAGCACGCAUUGCUUGCUUUCACCCUUGGUGUCAAGCAAAUGAUUUGCUGCUGUAACAAGGUCUGUUUUAUUUUAAUUAGUUAUGUUAAUUGAAAAUUGCUGUUCUUACGUUUUGCUAAUUAUGUUGUAUGCCUUCUGCAGAUGGAUGCUACCACCCCCAAGUACUCCAAGGCUAGGUACGAUGAAAUUGUCAAGGAAGUUUCUUCCUACCUCAAGAAAGUAGGAUACAACCCUGACAAAAUCCCCUUUGUCCCCAUCUCUGGUUUUGAAGGAGACAACAUGAUUGAGCGAUCAACCAACCUUGACUGGUACAAGGGCCCAACCCUACUUGAGGCUCUUGACCAGAUUAAUGAGCCCAAGAGGCCCUCAGACAAGCCCCUCCGUCUUCCACUUCAGGAUGUCUACAAGAUUGGAGGUAUUGGAACUGUACCUGUCGGUCGUGUUGAAACUGGUGUGAUUAAGCCUGGUAUGGUUGUCACUUUUGGUCCAACUGGUCUGACCACUGAGGUUAAAUCUGUGGAGAUGCACCACGAGGCUCUUCAGGAGGCACUUCCUGGUGACAAUGUUGGGUUCAACGUCAAGAACGUUGCAGUUAAGGAUCUUAAGAGAGGUUACGUUGCCUCCAACUCCAAAGAUGACCCAGCGAAGGGUGCUGCUAGCUUCACUGCCCAAGUUAUCAUCAUGAACCACCCUGGUCAGAUUGGAAACGGAUAUGCCCCAGUGCUCGACUGCCACACCUCCCACAUUGCUGUCAAGUUUGCUGAGAUCUUGACCAAGAUUGACAGACGUUCUGGUAAGGAACUUGAGAAGGAGCCCAAGUUUUUGAAGAAUGGUGAUGCCGGUAUGGUUAAGAUGAUUCCCACCAAGCCCAUGGUUGUUGAGACCUUUGCUGAGUACCCACCAUUGGGACGUUUUGCCGUGAGGGACAUGCGUCAGACUGUUGCUGUUGGAGUUGUCAAGAACGUCGACAAGAAAGACCCUACUGGUGCUAAAGUCACCAAGGCUGCCCAAAAGAAGAAGUGAUGUGUUUUUGAUGAGAUUCUGCAUUGAUGAACUAGUUUUGUUUAAUUGCAUUAGCUAUUUUCAAUUUUGUUUUGAACAUUUUACCAGUCAUAGAUAUGGCUCCAGAAGCUUUUGUCAUGGU
rnacentral:lncRNA from 1 species